GACGAACGCUGGCGGCGUGCUUAACACAUGCAAGUCGAACGGUGAAGGGAUCAGCUUGCUGGUUCUGGAUGAGUGGCGAACGGGUGAGUAACACGUGAGUAACCUGCCCCCUUCUUCUGGAUAACCGCAUGAAAGUGUGGCUAAUACGGGAUAUUCUGCGCCUGCUGCAUGGUGGGUGUGGGAAAGAUAUUGUUUCGGUGGGGGAUGGGCUCGCGGCCUAUCAGCUUGUUGGUGGGGUGAUGGCCUACCAAGGCGGUGACGGGUAGCCGGCCUGAGAGGGGGGCCGGUCACACUGGGACUGAGACACGGCCCAGACUCCUACGGGAGGCAGCAGUGGGGAAUAUUGCACAAUGGGCGCAAGCCUGAUGCAGCGACGCCGCGUGAGGGAGGGAGGCCUUCGGGUUGUGAACCUCUUUCGCCAGUGAAGCAGGCCUGUCCCUUGUGGGUGGGUUGACGGUAGCUGGAGAAGAAGCGCCGGCUAACUACGUG
rnacentral:rRNA from 1 species